AGAUAAUGCAAGCACCUUUUUUUGCUUGUAACGCUGACAAUACAAUAAACCAGUAGCAAUGCAGUGCUUUCUGUUCAUCUUGAGGGAGGGAAGCAUUCUUUUUACUACAAGAUGAUAUUAAAAGACAUUCCUACAAAGGUUCAGCCUCUGUAAAACAGUAAUUUUUCAGCAGCUUGAAAUGGUUGGCUGGAGCACGCAUCAAUUUGUUUGCUAUAGCUAAGAUCUAUUUUAUCAAUACCUUUCCUCUAUGAUUUACAUUUUUCUAAAUGUCACUGUUUCUGUGUGAGAAACGAAGUGUGGACCAAUUAACUGUUGAUUCUUUCUGCCAAGAAUAAAUGUUGUGAUCUAGCAUAUAUGCAAGAUGGAGUAAAUAUUCUAUGAUGGGAGUGCAGAAAUUGCCAGGCUACUGCAAUCCAGAGAAUGAAGUGUUGUGGACUCUGAUUUUCUGGUGACCCUAGGGUAGAAACAAAGGAAUGUCAGAGAAGUUCACAGAGAUGCUGUUUCUGAAAUCUUAGCUUCUGACAAUCACAAAGAUUUGAGACAUUAUUCCUAAUUGAGAUUUUUUACUGAAUAUAUUUUAAAGAUAAAUUUGUUUUAUUCUUUCACCCUCUAUUUAAAAGGAUUUUUCACAUUUUUAUCUUCUAAAGGAAUUGUCAAUGAGAAACUAAAACUGCGUAGACUAUACAUUAAAAUCACUUUAGUUUUUAAGCUGUCACGAACUGUUUCAAAAAAUGCUAAGUUGCUAUUGUUUAAUGUCUGUCAUUUUAUAAUGCUUUAGAAGUUAUCUAUCCUGUAAAAUUAUUAACUGAUGCUAAAAUUGCCUUGUAAGUAUUAGGACAAUAGCAAUUUUGUAACAGCUGGGACACUGCCAAUGUAAGAUAAGUACAUUUUGCUCUGUAGAUUCAUAAAGUGCUUUGAAAUGGUUUGUAACUGAUGGAUGGAUGCAUUUUCUAAGUGUAGAAAGCAAUAUUUUGUAGAGGGAAAUGGCUUGAAAGCUGACACACAUGCAUGCAAAUGCCAUUCUCUUCAGUAAGUAAUUUGCUUUUUCUUUCAAAAGCAUAAAUGGCAUAGUUAGACACAUUAUUUUGUAUAUUGCACAUAACAAUACAAGAUGCACAAAAACAGCAAGUACAAAACAUUUCAUAUUGAUAGAGGAACCCAUGGCUGUAGUAUAUGAUUAGCAUAAAUGUAUACACACUGAAGAAAUGCCUUCAGGAUUAAAAAGUAAGGCUGAAAACAUGAAAAGUUCUUCCAACUUCAAGAAAUGGAAACACUUAGCAUACACUUUUUGUUUCUCAACCUUGUACAUUUCAAAAGUAUUUAAGCUAUGUAGGGUCUUAAUUAGGUCUUGCACUCUGUACUUCAUCUUACUCUGAUGGCUCUGUAUCAGGCUUUAACUUUGAAGGUAAAUCAGUUAAAUCCUUGAAGUGUUUGUGUGUCAAUGUUAAAACCCGGGAGGGUAGUGCUGUGAAGUACAUAUAGGCAGAGAGAGUACAGAUCAGAUUUAUUUUCUUGUAAUUUACGAACUAGUUAAUGCUAAACUGAUUUUUUGGUUGUCUAUCAUUGUAUCAUAUUUGUGAUUUACAUCAUUGUAUUAUUUAGGUUCUGUAUUGUAAAACCAGGACUGUUGAUGAAAAGCUUUGGCUAGAUUCUGUAGCAAUCUUUCUUAAGAUGGUGCUUCAGGUCUUUGCCCUUGGAAACUUCCAUGCCUACUCAGAUAUCCAAUCUUGAGAAAUCUCAGCCUUACUGAACAUAGGAGAAUAAUACAGCUAAGUCUGCACUGAAUAAGGCAAGGAAUCUCAGUCUUAGUCUGGAAAAUGGUCCCCAGUGAAAUCUUUGGAAUAUCAGCUUCAGCAGGUCUGCUCAAUAUGAUUAGUGUCAACAUGCGGCCUUUUUGUUUAAAGAAAGGAACAUUUCCCUCAUAGAAUUUUGUUAAAUUUCUCAUUCAACAAUUAUUGUAAUCAUGACCUCUAUUGUUCAUCAUUUCCACGAAAAUUUCUGCUUCUACAUCAACUUCUUUCUUAAGAUACAUAUUCCCAUUAGAUACAUAACAGCCAUUAAUCUUAAUGGAAGCUAUGCUCAGAAAUGGAGUGAGAAAGACACCCAGGAGGUUUUGUCACAUCUUUAAAUUCACUACCCCAAAAAAAAUUAUUUGAGCUAAAUUCUGAUAAUGAAUGCACAUUGCUGAAGAAUUAGAAUUUAAAAUAUAUUUACACAGUUACUGAAUUUAUCUUAAGAAGAGUUGAAACAACACUUCUACUGGAUUGUGUCGCAGAUUUCACGCUGUGUCCUAAGAAACGCUGCUUGUUUUGUGAUGCUGUAGGAAAAAGAGUAGGGUUAUAAAAAACAGACAGGUUGGGGCUUAUUUUCUUUGUUCCUCACAUGUGAACACAUCAGGUGGUUUUUGUUUCCCUGAAGUAUAUAUUUUUUUAUAAUAUACCCCCCUUUUUUUUACUUUGAU